rnacentral:tRNA from 1 species
UGCGGACGUGGUGAAACUGGUAGACACGCUAGAUUUAGGUUCUAGUGAGAAAAUCUCGUGAGAGUUCGAAUCUCUCCGUCCGCAA